rnacentral:rRNA from 1 species
AUUGAACGCUGGCGGCGUGCCUAACACAUGCAAGUCGAGCGGAUUAAAGGAGCUUGCUCCUUUGGUCAGCGGCGCACGGGUGAGUAACACGUGGAUGAUCUACCCAUCAGUUCGGAACAACAGUUGGAAACGACUGCUAAUACCGGAUACGAUUCUUUUUCAACUUUGAGUGAAAGGGGGCCUCUGCAUAUGCUCUCGCUGAUGGAUGAGUCCGCGUCUCAUUAGGUAGUUGGUAGGGUAACGGCCUACCAAGCCGACGAUGAGUAGCCGGCCUGAGAGGGUGAACGGCCACACUGGGACUGGAACACGGCCCAGACUCCUACGGGAGGCAGCAGUGGGGAAUAUUGCGCAAUGGGCGAAAGCCUGACGCAGCGACGCCGCGUGAGGGAUGAAGGCCUUCGGGUCGUAAACCUCUGUCAGGAGGGAAGAAGUGUGCUCGUGCUAAUCAGCGGGCAUUUGACGGUACCUCCAAAGGAAGCACCGGCUAACUCCGUGCCAGCAGCCGCCGUAAAAC